rnacentral:lncRNA from 7 species
AAGUGACUACUACCAAAUACUGAUUUUGACAAAUGUAAUUACAUAAUCUUAGCUUUUUACUCAUAGGCUUAUGGAUGCUGAGUAAUCAAAGAAUUGAACACUAAUGGUGAAACACAGAUGCAAAUGGAUGUGGUAGUAUUUACAGCAGGCUAACAGCAAUGGCUUUCUCCCUUCCAACUCUCCAUCCCCAGAAAAGUCAAUUUUACUUACAGGAAGCUAAUGUAGUUACGUACAAAAUGUAUUACUAAAAAAAAAAAACAUCUUAAAAGUCCAAAUGUUCUUGUGUAUCAAAGGCCAUGACUACUUCUCCUAUAGGUCUUUCCUACGUAAUUCACUACUAAUUCGUACUUUAUUUCCUGUAGUGUCACUGUUACAAAAGUUCUCAGUGUUAUGGAAAAAAAUAGACUUAACUAACAAAAUGUAUGUCAAUUCCUGUUACUUUAGUGAAAAGCUGUAAGUCCCGAAGGCACUGGAAUACGUUGGAUUAUUAUGAGCAAAUAACUACAUAAUCAUGCAGGUAUAAAAUGCUGCAAGCAGUGAAGAAGAUAUCAGUGAAUCUGUGGAUUACAUUUUGAACAAAAAAUAAAGGAGCUCUGAGAACAGUGGCUGCCAAAAAAUAUUCAUAUGCAUUUCAACUAUUGUGAAAUCAGGCAUACAAAAGCUGUUUUAGCAGCAGCACUACAAGACAGCUGUUUCUACAAGACACAGCAACAAAAUACUCAGUGUACCUGCAAUUCUUACAUUUCUUUUUGCAAAUCAGAAAAGAAAUAGUUUUAUACAACAUUCUACAGAAACCUGAGUAAGAAGAAAGCAUUCGUGGCAAACCUACUGACUUUCCAAGAGAACCAGAAGGAUCUGGAUCACUUUGGGAGACUGCUCUGAAAAAUCACACAUUUUUAGAAGACGUAUAUAACUGUGCUACUGUCAAAAACCCAUCACCUCGUGUUCUCAGAGACUGUUCUAACCGCUAAUGGUUAAACAGCAUGCCAGCAGACCAGACAGAGCCAGGUUAUCAAUGUUUUAGGAAGUCAUUAAAUAGUUAGAAGCAGAAUAUGAAAUUACUUUCUCUGUUCCAAGGGCUGAAUCAAAUUACUUAUUUAUUCAACACAGAACGGCUAAACAAAAGAUUCACUGAAUUCACAGAGACAGGAAAAUAAGGCCCAUUCAUCUGGGUACUCCUAAUGAAACACUGUUCCUGAUAAACAGGAUAGCUUUCUUCCAGACAUGACUGUGGAAACACUCCAUUAUUCUGCUUACAGUUGCCUCCACCUGCUCUCUGAAAGGCUGGCAUCUCCUGAAUAAUUCCUCAUUUGUAAAACUACCUCAUCCUUAUCUCUGCCUCCAAGCUCUUCAUCUUCCCUGGCUCCAUUAUGCUUUGGUUUGGUUUGGUUUUUGGUCUUCUCUGACCUUCAUAUUCUCUUUUGAAACCUGACCCUUAUAAGAAUACAAUCUCUAAGCAUAUCCCUCAGUCCAGGCCUCCCCGCUCUUCUCCCCUUUGGACUCUUCCAUCCUUUAUCUGUUUGCAUCUUAAAAUAAAGAAUGGAAAACUGUUAAGAAAUAAGGCAAGAAGAAGAAAACAAGUUUACAC